rnacentral:tRNA from 1 species
UCCUCAUUAGUAUAGUGGUGAGUAUCCCCGACUGUCACACAGGAGACUGGGGUUCAAUUCCCCAAUCAGGAG